GUCCAGCGUGACCACCACCGCGGUCUUGCGCAGGGGGCGCCCGAACCUUUUGCGCAGUGGCCACAGGCAGAAGUUUCUGAGCAGGUGGAUUCCUUACCACUGAGCCACCAGAGGAAGCCCUGAAGGGACCCAGAAGUGAGUGAAUCUCUCUGGUGGUUGGAAGAUAUGCAAAGAGUGAAAGAAUGCUUCCAGAAUCCUGCCUUGGUUUUGAUUGCUUUGCUUUCGUAUGGUAUGUCUAUUUUUGCAAAAUGUUUCAUGACUAAUUUCGGUAAGUGAUAUUUAUCUGUACAGCACUGGAUUUACCUAAACUCAACCUUCCCAGACACAUACAUAAACCCUGAGGCUCUGAUUCUAAAAUAAUAGCAACUGAAUCCCUCCCAAGGUGAGAUGGCCUUGCAUUUAGGUGAUGCUGUGAGUUUUAUCCUGACCUGGCUCAUAGGAGACUGAAUUUCUUGAGAAUGGCCCAGGGACUUUCAAUAUUAAAAAAAAAAAAAGAAUCCUCCUGUCUUUUAUUUAUAUCUGACUUUGUACAUCUAAUAUUCCUGUGGGGAAAGACAGCAAGCUGUACAUUUUCUGUUCUCUCAUAAACUUUUUUGAAAACAUCUAGGAUUUAUGCAGCUCCAAGAAUCAGCUGGGUAAAAUAUAGACCAAACUCUGGUUUGGAGAAUAAAGGAAAUAUGAGAAGAGAAAAGCUUUGGGAGCGGAGGACAAGAAUUACGAUUGCCUCCGAGAUAUUGGAACAGAGACCAUGCAUCUUCCAUUUCCAGACCCUGUAAGGACGGUCCUGGCAACCUGGAGGCUGGAUGCCUGGACUAGGGACAAAUGGACAUCGGGCAGGUUUUCAGCUCUGACACAUACUACUUAGGUAACCUUGGACAAGUUACUUGACCUCUCUGAGCCUCAAUUUCCCUAUUAGGAAAAUAAGAAUCAAGUGUUGACCAAGAUAAUAUGUUAAACACAGUCCGUGACACAGAGAAAGCAUCACAAUUAAGCAUCACAAUUCCUGUUAGGUAUUACUCUCACCAAGGGUCAUCCACCUUCACACCAUGUGCCAUUGCCACACUUUCCCUAGUUUCACACAAUUCUCAUCCUUUCUUCGAUCUUUUGAUAUCUGGUAGCCAGGAGUUUUGACAGGUCCCAGACGGCCAAGUAGAGCAAUGGUGGGUCCAAGUCUUUAAAAUAUGUCUGAAUAUAAAAUUUGACCACUGGUUACAUGCAGAAAAGUGCCCAUGAAGGUGGACCAUAGUGAUGGAUGAGAUGUAGGAGAGGCAUCAUAGGGAUGGACACCAGGUGAGUUUUCCCCAGCUUCACUCUCCACCAGCAAGAGGACAAAAGGCCCACAUGACCCCUGGGUGGGCUGGACCUGGCCACAGGCUGCCGACAACCAGUUCUGUCUGUGUGACCUAGGACAACAUUCCCAGCAGAGAGCUGUCAACAUUGCCUCGGUACACAGACCUGUGACC